AAACUUUCAACAACGGAUCUCUUGGUUCUGGCAUCGAUGAAGAACGCAGCGAAAUGCGAUAAGUAAUGUGAAUUGCAGAAUUCAGUGAAUCAUCGAAUCUUUGAACGCACAUUGCGCCCUGUGGUAUUCCGCGGGGCAUGCCUGUUCGAGCGUCAUUU
rnacentral:rRNA from 1 species